rnacentral:rRNA from 1 species
AGAGUUUGAUCCUGGCUCAGGAUGAACGCUGGCGGCGUGCUUAACACAUGCAAGUCGAACGCACCUUCGGGUGAGUGGCGGACGGGUGAGUAACGCGUGGGAAUCUGCCCUUAGGAGGGGGAUAACGGCUGGAAACGGCCGCUAAUACCCCAUAUGCCGAGAGGUGAAACGAAUUUCGCCUGAGGAUGAGCCCGCGUCUGAUUAGCUAGUUGGUGGGGUAAGAGCCCACCAAGGCGACGAUCAGUAGCUGGUCUGAGAGGAUGAUCAGCCACACUGGGACUGAGACACGGCCCAGACUCCUACGGGAGGCAGCAGUGGGGAAUUUUCCGCAAUGGGCGAAAGCCUGACGGAGCAACGCCGCGUGAGGGAUGAAGGCCUCUGGGCUGUAAACCUCUUUUCUCAAGGAAGAAGACAUGACGGUACUAGAGGAAUAAGCCACGGCUAAUUCCGUGCCAGCAGCCGCGGUAAUACGGGAGUGGCAAGCGUUAUCCGGAAUUAUUGGGCGUAAAGCGUCCGCAGGCUCUGUAAGUCUGUUGUUAAAGCGUGGAGCUCAACUCCAUUUCAGCAAUGGAAACUACAGGGCUUGAGUGUGGUAGGGGCAGAGGGAAUUCCCGGUGUAGCUGAAAUGCGUAGAUAUCGGGAAGAACACCAGUGGCGAAGGCGCUCUGCUGGGCCAUAACUGACGCUCAUGGACGAAAGCCAGGGGAGCGAAAGGGAUUAGAUACCCCUGUAGUCCUGGCCGUAAACGAUGAACACUAGGUGUCGGGGGAAUCGACCCCCUCGGUGUCGUAGCCAACGCGUUAAGUGUUCCGCCUGGGGAGUACGCACGCAAGUGUGAAACUCAAAGGAAUUGACGGGGGCCCGCACAAGCGGUGGAGUAUGUGGUUUAAUUCGAUGCAACGCGAAGAACCUUACCAGGGUUUGACAUCCUGCGAAUCCCUUGGAAACUUGGGAGUGCCUUCGGGAGCGCAGAGACAGGUGGUGCAUGGCUGUCGUCAGCUCGUGUCGUGAGAUGUUGGGUUAAGUCCCGCAACGAGCGCAACCCACGUCUUUAGUUGCCAGCAUUCAGUUGGGCACUCUAGAGAGACCGCCGGUGAUAAACCGGAGGAAGGUGUGGAUGACGUCAAGUCAUCAUGCCCCUUACAUCCUGGGCUACACACGUACUAGAAUGCUACGGACAGAGGGCAGCAAGCUCGCGAGAGUUAGCAAAUCCCAUAAACCGUGGCUCAGUUCAGAUCGUAGGCUGCAACUCGCCUACGUGAAGGACGAAUCGCUAGUAAUCGCAGGUCAGCAUACUGCGGUGAAUACGUUCCCGGGCCUUGUACACACCGCCCGUCACACCAUGGAAGUUGGCCAUGCCCGAAGUCGUUACUCCAACCCUUGUGGAGGAGGACGCCGAAGGUGGGGCUGAUGACUGGGGUGAAGUCGAAACAAGGUA